GAAAUGCGAUACUUGGUGUGAAUUGCAGAAUCCCGUGAACCAUCGAGUCUUUCCAUCGACGACCCUUUGCGUGCACGCACGCUCCCAACGAGACCUCAGGUCAGGCGGGGCUACCCGCUGAGUUUAA
rnacentral:misc_RNA from 1 species